UACGUAGGGUGCGAGCGUUGUCCGGAAUUAUUGGGCGUAAAGAGCUUGUAGGCGGUCUGUCGCGUCUGCUGUGAAAAUCCGGGGCUCAACCCCGGACUUGCAGUGGGUACGGGCAGACUAGAGUGUGGUAGGGGAGACUGGAAUUCCUGGUGUAGCGGUGAAAUGCGCAGAUAUCAGGAAGAACACCCGUGGCGAAGGCGGCUCUCUGGGACGGUACUGACGCUGAGACGCGAAAAGCGUGGGGAGCGAACAGG
rnacentral:rRNA from 1 species